GACGAACGCUGGCGGCGUGCUUAACACAUGCAAGUCGAACGAAGUGGCGAACGGGUGAGUAACGCGUAAUCAACCUGCCCUUCAGAGGGGGACCACAGCUGGAAACGACUGCUAAUACCGCAUACUGAAGGCGGGGAUUGCGUCUGAUUAGCUAGUUGGAGGGGUAACGACCCACCAAGGCGAUGAUCAGUAGGCGGUCUGAGAGGAUGAACGGCCACAUUGGGACUGAGACACGGCCCAGAGUCCUACGGUAGGCAGCAGAGGGAAAUCUGCCGCAAUGGACGAACGUCUGACGGAGCAACGCCGCGUGAGUGAUGACGGCCUUCGGGUUGUAAAGCUCUGUUAAUCGGGACGCGGUACCGGAAUAGAAAGCCACGGCUAACUACGUGCCAGCCGCCGCGGUAAUAC
rnacentral:rRNA from 1 species